AGCAGUAGCCACGGUAAUACGUAAGGUGCAAGCGUUGUUCGGAAUUAUUGGGCGUAAAGGGCAUGCAGGCGGUCGUGCAAGCCCGGCGUGAAAGACGGGGGCUCAACUCCCGAAGUGCGCUGGGAACUGCAGGGCUUGAGUUUCUGAAGGGCAGCCGGAAUUCCACGUGUAGGGGUGAAAUCUGUAGAUAUGUGGAAGAACACCAAUGGCGAAGGCAGGCUGCCGGCAGAAGACUGACGCUGAGGUGCGAAGGUGCGGGGAGCAAACAGGAUUAGAUACCCUGUAGUCCCUGUCUCUUAUACA
rnacentral:rRNA from 1 species